UACAGAGGGGGCAAGCGUUGUUCGGAAUUACUGGGCGUAAAGCGUGCGUAGACGGUUAUUUAAGUCAGGUGUGAAAGCCCCGGGCUCAACCUGGGAAUUGCAUUUGAGACUGAAUAGCUAGGGUGCGGAAGAGGGAAGCGGAAUUUCCGGUGUAGCGGUGAAAUGCGUAGAUAUCGGAAGGAACACCAGUGGCGAAAGCGGCUUCCUGGUCCAGCACCGACGUUCAGGCACGAAAGCGUGGGGAGCAAACAGG
rnacentral:rRNA from 1 species